rnacentral:rRNA from 1 species
UGGGGAAUUUUGGACAAUGGGCGCAAGCCUGAUCCAGCAAUGCCGCGUGAGUGAAGAAGGCCUUCGGGUUGUAAAGCUCUUUUGUCAGGGAAGAAACGGCUGGGGCUAAUAUCCCCGGCUAAUGACGGUACCCGAAGAAUAAGCACCGGCUAACUACGUGCCAGCAGCCGCGGUAAUACGUAGGGUGCAAGCGUUAAUCGGAAUUACUGGGCGUAAAGCGUGCGCAGGCGGUUUUGUAAGUCUGACGUGAAAGCCCCGGGCUCAACCUGGGAAUUGCGUUGGAGACUGCAAGGCUUGAAUCUGGCAGAGGGGGGUAGAAUUCCACGUGUAGCAGUGAAAUGCGUAGAGAUGUGGAGGAACACCGAUGGCGAAGGCAGCCCCCUGGGUCAAGAUUGACGCUCAUGCACGAAAGCGUGGGGAGCAAACAGGAUUAGAUACCCUGGUAGUCCACGCCCUAAACGAUGUCUACUAGUUGUCGGGUUUUAAUUAACUUGGUAACGCAGCUAACGCGUGAAGUAGACCGCCUGGGGAGUACGGUCGCAAGAUUA